rnacentral:rRNA from 1 species
AUACGGAGGGUGCGAGCGUUAAUCGGAAUUACUGGGCGUAAAGGGUGCGUAGGCGGCUUGAUAAGUCGGAUGUGAAAGCCCCGGGCUUAACCUGGGAAUUGCAUUCGAUACUGUCAGGCUAGAGUAUGUCAGAGGUUGGCGGAAUUCCUGGUGUAGCGGUGAAAUGCGUAGAUAUCAGGAGGAACACCAGUGGCGAAGGCGGCUAACUGGGACAAUACUGACGCUGAGGCACGAAAGCGUGGGGAGCAAACAGGAUUAGAUACCCUUGUAGUCC